GGUCAUCUGAAAAAAGGAUGCAAAUAUUGCUCACCAGUGUGGAGGACAGGAGGCCAUAGCUACGGGCCGGUCAUCCAUUUUCGUCUGCUGCCGGUGGAAACAGGACUGAGAUGGUGUCUUUUCCCAUUGUACGGGCAAGCCAUCUGCUUCUGGGCGAAACAGGACUGGCAUGAUGUGACCACGUGGGACGCACUGAGCCUGCACGGAACCAGACCACGCCGCAUCAUGUCCACCAGGCAUACGCAUGAGAUUUCUUGGAAAUGGGUGGAGAUUCUGGGACUUGGACUGUAUAAAAAGGAUACCACCCAAAGCUAAGUGGAGGACCCACCCACCACCAAACGGGACCCCCCACCACCGAGACUCCCAAAGGAAGAGGACCAACGGGACGCCGCUGGAUCCACGGGUGGUGAUAUCUUUUUCUCUCUUUUUCUCUCUUUUUCUCUCUUUUUCUCUCUUUUUCUCUCUCUUUCUCUCUCUUUCGUUGAAUGUUGGUAAGAUCUGUUCAAAACGUGUGGCACGGGACUUGUCUAGCUAGUUGAAGUAACCGCCAUUGAAUUAUCAUAUUUGACCAUAUGCCUUAUCUUUGUGUUAAUAAAUCAUAAAACUGGU